UACGGGGGGGGCAAGCGUUGUUCGGAAUUACUGGGCGUAAAGGGCUCGUAGGUGGCCAACUAAGUCAGACGUGAAAUCCCUCGGCUUAACCGGGGAACUGCGUCUGAUACUGGAUGGCUUGAGUUUGGGAGAGGGACGCGGAAUUCCUGGUGUAGCGGUGAAAUGCGCAGAUAUCAGGAGGAACACCGGUGGCGAAGGCGGUUCUCUGGGCAUGAUCUGACGCUGAGGCGCGAAAGCGUGGGGAGCAAACAGG
rnacentral:rRNA from 1 species